rnacentral:rRNA from 1 species
CCUACGGGUGGCAGCAGUGGGGAAUAUUGCACAAUGGGGGAAACCCUGAUGCAGCGACGCCGCGUGAGUGAAGAAGUAUUUCGGUAUGUAAAGCUCUGUCAGCAGGGAAGAAAAUGACGGUACCUGACCAAGAAGCCCCGGCUAACUACGUGCCAGCAGCCGCGGUAAUACGUAGGGGGCAAGCGUUAUCCGGAUUUACUGGGGGUAAAGGGAGCGCAGGCGGCACGGCAAGCCUGAUGUGAAAGCCCGCGGCCCAACCGCGGGACUGCAUUGGGAACUACCGGGCUGGAGUGCCGGAGAGGUAGGCGGAAUUCCUAGUGUAGCGGUGAAAUGCGUAGAUAUUAGGAGGAACACCAGUGGCGAAGGCGGCCUACUGGACGGUGACUGACGCUGAGGCUCGAAAGCGUGGGGAGCAAACAGGAUUAGAUACCCUUGUAGUC